GUCAGAUAGAUUAACAUUAAUCACUGCACUCAUCUCUCAAAGUUCAUUCUUCUUCCACUUUGUUUGGUUGAGUCCCUAAAAAAGAUACAUUUCUAAUUUGCUUCGCCUCUUUGACGUUUCAACAGCAAAUGGUACCAUACUAACAAAAGACAACUGGGUAAUACAUUCUGGAUUUCCACCACAAGAUUUCACAAACAUAAGACAAAAAAAACAUUCAACUUCUAUUUGGAGAAUAUCUGUUAAUGAUGACAUCACAAGAGGUAGCCAGCCAGCUAACUUCCAGAUGAUCAGUUGCUUUUAGUAAACUUGUUGCAGAGCAGGUGAGCUUGACUUUUGUGAAACAGAUGCAUCAACAACUUGGUUUGAAAUGACUUCUGCAGAUAAGAGAUUACAAUAUAAGGUUGUUAUAGAAAAUAUGUGAGAUUUUUUUCAUGUCUUGUAGCUUUACACAAGGACAUCCUGCUCAAUGUGUGGUGGCAAAAUACAUGUAAGGUUUGAUGCAGGUUUUAUUUAUAAAAAAAAAGGCAAGUUUGCAGUAGUUAUUUACAUGUAGCUAUUUCCUUACAUAUCUUUCCUAUUUUGAAGAGCAGCUAAGAGACAAAUGGGAAUCUGUGUGGCAUCAUAUUGAUAUCUCGAUAAAAAAAUUAAAUCGCAUUGAUCAACUUAACUUAAAAAAACAUUUCAGUUGUAUUUAUGAUAAGAAAUGACACCAAAGAAAAAUCACAUUUUGUUUCGGCUGCUAUUUGGGUUUCGGCUGCUUCUAAACGCAGGCAGAUUUUAGGUGUCUGGAAAAUGAGCCGUUUCAAAAACCUUUGGAAUGUAACAAAUCCAAAGGUGUAACAACUAUCAACCCCAGCAAAACCCAGCCCAUUACCUAGCAACCGAAAUGGAACUCCAGAACAUUUGUCAGUUGGUUUUACCGCUGUAUGCGGCGUACAAUGGCUGAUGGAAAGGACAAGUGUUUUGUUGUUAACAUACUAUUCAGAAACCACUUGUUGCAUUCUUGUUGGUUGGGCAGAAGGCUCUAGUUGCCGUUUUCCAAUUUUUUUCAGUGAGAGAUUAUACUGAUGUAAUAAAAGGCACAAUUUUAAGGCCUUUUAAGCACCUUUAUUAGGGCAAUGAUUGCUGGAUGAUAUGGCUGAAAAACGUAUCACCAUACAAGUGUUUUAUAUCAGUUUAUAUCAAUAAUUGUUAAUUAGUUUUUUGGUUUCAGAAAUAGUAUCUCAAACACUGCCAAACUGAGUUUAUUUCUAAGCAGUCAUGAGGUAUAAUGGUGAAACCUGAAACUUCUGCUAUGCAAGUUACUCCACAGGUCGUUGCUAGGUAACCAAAGAAUGAGCGAGUUGCUAGGUAACCAAAGAGUGAGCGAGUUAGUUGAUUCCACCAACCUUCCAUAGCUGGAGAGGUUGAGUGGCUAAAGUCUUUCCUCUGCCUACAUCCCCCAGAAUGCUGUGUGGUUCAGUGAAUAUUCUAUCGAUGUUAUCUAUUGAUAUUGAUCACGUGUCAAUCUAGAUAUACAGUAUAUUGUUAUUGCUUCGUUGUCCAGCCCUAAUGGACGGAAACUGUUUUGCUUCAAAAUGCUGCUCUUCGUCACCAGAUUCGAAGGCAAAGAUGGACAACGCUCAUUACAGACCACAGACAUGACUCACGCCACUAAAUGCUUUUCCUCCAUCUUUUUCCCUGAGACUCCUUUCAGUAUCUUCCCACAACGAAACAGAGGCUGAUCACUGUUGCUCCAUUUGUUCUGCCUCACAAAGACAUCUUGUUUUCUCCAGUUUGUCUGGCCGCUGAUCCCGGUAUGUUGCCUUUUCAACAGCCUUUCUCGCCGUGACUGUGUGCGCAACUGGUGAAACGCAGUCGUUCACAUGAGUCACAAAGGGCCCAUGGGAAGAGCAGCUUAUUGUCUGCGUUACUGUUAAGAACUGGUGCAUAAAAGAGCAUCAGAAUGAGAGCUGCUGGAGCAGAGUCUGGUUCAUGAAAGGGACAAAAUGAAGCUUUGUUUUGCUUUUCGUUUUUCCUCUACUGGCAGUUCUGUCUAAAAAUACAAGCGUGACCCAGGAUGGUGCAAAAUAAACAUGCAAAAACCAGUUAUGCAAAGGUGGAGCUAAAAGGAAGAUACAGAAGAUUGAAUUUCAUGGGUUCAGUCGGCUGCAGUCACCAUAAGUAGUCAUAGGGAUUAGGAAGAAGAUUGUGCCACUGGAAACGUAAAAAAACUCAUUUUCAACCAUUUUAAUCGUAAAAGUUUAGUUUUAUCUUUGUUCUAAAACCACAAAUGUAAGUAAAACUAUUGUAGUUCUUUAUUUUAAAAAUAUAAAAUUUGUAAUGCCAACUUUUUUGCAAGUAAAUUUUGCAACUCUAAGCACAUUUUAUUGCAUAGAAGAGAAGACAAAAUGUAAAAGUUAGAGACCUAAACAAUUAGAAUAUUUUUUAGUCUAACCUUUAUUUACCAGGUAAAUUGGUUGAGAACAAAUUCUCAUUUUUAACAACAACCUGGCCUGGAAAUGCCAUAUAGCAGAACACAACACAGCACAAACAGCAAACAGUACAGCAAUGCUCAUAGUAGAAAAAAAUCAUAAAGAAUUUGUAAAUCAUAAAGUUUAUAAAAAAGUGGCUGCCUUUCAUAAUUCUGUCAUUUCUUUAUAAAAUUCAUUUUCAGACCAUUAAGAACAUAAUAUAAAUGCCUACAGAUUUUACUAAAAUUGAACGCAAAUUAACUUUUUUUUAUUUCUAGCAGGAAUAAUUUAAAAUUGAACUACAUCUGUCAUUUUUUGUUUCUUUUCAAACAGAUUAGAUAAGAUUAGAUAAACUUUAUUGUCCCCAAAGGGCAAUUUGCUUUGCAGACAGCAGAUAAAUAAUUUUUUUUAAAAAUACAGAAAUUACAGUAUUUUGUAAUGCUGGUAACUAAUUUUGUAUUAUUGAUCAUUUAGUUCUUUAUAAACAAUAAAACAUAACAAUUAAAUCUUGGAGCAGAAGGUUAAAAACAAAGCAGUAAAAAACAAAAGUUGGUUAAGAGUCAAAAAGGUUUUAGGUUGGCGGAGGUAUUUACGGACAUGAGAGAUGGAGAUGAUGAAUAGACUGAGAAUGAAGGAAAACGAGGACAACAAAAGGAAGUGAUAAGCAGUCAAAGGGUAUUUUUGUAGCUGAGCAAUGCAGAAAGAAAGAAUGCGAGGCCUAAAAGGAAAAUUGGAGAGUGCAAACAUUGAUUAUUGGAAAGGCUGUCAGAGAUAGUUGGACACAAAGAUAUUUGAGGAUGAAAGCUUUCACAUGGAAAGCAAGACCAAAGUGGCAGAAAACAAAACACGAGAUGUCACGGCACACCUAAAAUUACAAAGGUCACAAAAGGAUAAAUUACUUCUAAAUAAAAGUGACCACUCAACACGUCACUUUGGCAUUCUGUGCAUGCAUUUCAAAUACGUUUAUUCACCACCAUUUACUGAGGUCAUUUAGAAAGGUCACGGAAAGCGCUAAAGUGGACCCCUGUAGAUGUGGGAAUGUGCCUACCAUGAAAAAUAACUGUUUUGUUUUGCUUUGACAGUUUCACUGAUGAAUGAUGGCAGGAAUGUCUCCGAAACGAAAACACGUCAAUCACCGCAUGCUAACUCGUUCGAUCGUCAACUUCUAAAAACAGUCGGCGAUGACAUCAUCAUCUGGAUUAUCUCAAAGAAGGCGGGGCUAGAGAGUCAUUUAACAGGAAUCACAAGCUCUUGAACCAAGACGGCCAUGACAGCUGAGCUUCCAGGUAAACACAGCCGUCGUGGGAACUGUAGGAUUAACGCCGUCGAGAAUUACAGGUAGAGGCAGAAAAUAUUUGGCUCCACCCAACGAUUAGCUUAAAAAUGAUCCAGAACAAACCUUAAGCUUUUAAUUCUUGUAGUCAUAACAGGAUCAACAUAGUUUUGCUGUAAGAUCAUUUGGAUAUUCUAAACUCGAUUAGCAGCACAAUUAGAAACUUGUACAAUAAAUCCGUUUUAACAGUGUAAACUAGUUUAGAUCCGUUUUUAGAGCCAUUUAAUUAAAAUUUAUUUAACUUGAGUAACUAAUUAUUAAUAAUUUAGCUAAGUAAUAGGCAACUUAUCACUUACCCCACUGAAAAUGAGUUUUUUUUUUGGUGAAACAGACAAUAGUAGCUGUUUGCAAUAAAACCCAGCUCCGAUCUGCAUGGGUUGCUAGGUGACAGACAGAAUUCCACGGGAGUUGCUAGGUAACGGGCUGGGAUUUGCUGGGGUUGCUAGGUGAGGAGCAGUGCCUCCUGAUUUGUAACGUUAUUUUCCAAAGGUUUUUGAAACGAGUCAUUUUCCAGACGCCAAAAAACGUUAACUUAUUG